GACGAACGCUGGCGGCGUGCUUAACACAUGCAAGUCGAACGGGCCCGCUCUCUUUUUUGGGGGUGGGUUGAGUGGCGAACGGGUGAGUAUCACGUGAGUAACCUGCCCCCUGCUCCUGGAUAACUGCUUGAAAGGGCGGCUAAUACGGGGUGUGCCGGCUGGUCCGCAUGGGCCUGGUCGGGAUAGUUUCAUCUUCGGGUGUUUCGGUGGGGGAUGGGCUCGCGGCCUAUCAGCUUGUUGGUGGGGUGAUGGCCCACCAAGGCGGUGAUGGGUAGCCGGCCUGAGAGGGUGGGCGGCCACACUGGGACUGAGACACGGCCCAGACUCCUGCGGGAGGCAGCAGUGGGGGGUAUUGCACAAUGGGCGGAAGCCGGAUGCAGCGACGUCGCGUGAGGGAUGGAGGCCUUCGGGUUGUGAACCUCUUUCUCCGGUGGUGAAGGCCCUGUCCGUUGCGGCGGGGUUGACGGUAGCCGGGUAUGAAGCGCCGGCUAACUACGUG
rnacentral:rRNA from 1 species